rnacentral:rRNA from 1 species
UACGUAGGGCGCAAGCGUUGUCCGGAAUUAUUGGGCGUAAAGAGCUCGUAGGCGGCUUGUUGCGUCCGCUGUGAAAUCCCGGGGCUUAACCCCGGGCGUGCAGUGGAUACGGGCAGGCUAGAGGCAGGCAGGGGAGAACGGAAUUCCUGGUGUAGCGGUGAAAUGCGCAGAUAUCAGGAGGAACACCGGUGGCGAAGGCGGAUCUCUGGGCCGAUACUGACGCUGAGGAGCGAAAGCGUGGGGAGCGAACAGG